CUCGAUCUCACGAACUGAACCAUGAGAUCUUGACCCGGAGCCGAAAUCGAGAGUCGGACACUCUACUGCCUGAGCCGCCCAGGUGCCCCUUAAGGAUUGUUAUACGAUGAACAGCCUUGGAAGGUAGAGAUAGUGUCUUCCUUCAAAACCAAGGACAGGCGUGCUAACUUUCUGCUAUGAAGGUAACCGACACAAGGCAUGCGGAUAUUCCAGCUGCUGCCGUCAGGAAUAAGCUGUCCUUCGUCUCCGGCGCAGGAGGGUGGACCUUCGCACAGCUUCCAUGCCCGUCCCUGGUUGGGCGACAUCUCAGACCUUUCGGAGUUCCUGACGUUAAUUAAAGCCAUUAUACUUUACUC